rnacentral:rRNA from 1 species
GGGGGGGGGGGGGGGGGGGGGGGGGGGGGGGGGGGCGGGGGGGGGGGGGGGGGGGGCGGGGGGGGGCGGGGGGCGGGGGGCGGACGGGGGGGGGGGACAGCGGAAUCUCCUUGUUCGGGGGGGCUAACGGAGGGGCACUUGCGCUCGUACCGCAUCCGGCCUACGGUUGCAGGCCUGGCCGCUUCGGCCCUGGCGCGAGUGACUGGGCCGACGUCGGAUUGGCUAGUUGGCGGGGUAAAGGACCACCAAGGCGACGACCCGGCCCUGGUCUGACAGGAUGAUCAGCCACACUGGAAAUGAGACACGGUCCAGACGCCUACGGGAGGCAGCAGUGGGGAAUAUUGGACAAUGGGCGCAAGCCUGAUCCAGCCAUACCGCGUGGGUGAAGAAGGCCUUCGGGUUGUAAAGCCCUUUUGUUGGGAAAGAAAAGCAGCAGGUUAAUACCCCGCUGUUCUGACGGUACCCAAAGAAUAAGCACCGGCUAACGUCGUG